rnacentral:lncRNA from 1 species
GUGGGAAGAAAUAUUGGGAUAAAGCUUUUAGAGGCGAGAUUUAGUAUUGUCAACUUCAUUAAACUUAGAUCUAUUAUUUUAUUGUUAGUAAAAUUUAAUUGGAUGUAAGAUAUUUAUUUUAAUUACUUGAAUUAAAGUUGAAAAAUAAUUAUUUAAAUUUAUUUCGCUGUGUUGCAUUGAUAUCGUGAUGACAUGCCUUGCAUGCUUAU